rnacentral:rRNA from 1 species
AUUGAACGCUGGCGGCAGGCCUAACACAUGCAAGUCGAGCGGAUGAACGGAGCUUGCUCCUGGAUUCAGCGGCGGACGGGUGAGUAAUGCCUAGGAAUCUGCCUGGCAGUGGGGGAUAACGUCCGGAAACGGGCGCUAAUACCGCAUACGUCCUGAUGGUGAACGUGGGGGAUCUUCGGACCUCACGCUAUCAGAUGAGCCUAGGUCGGAUUAGCUAGUUGGUGGGGUAAAGGCCUACCAAGGCGACGAUCCGUAACUGGUCUGAGAGGAUGAUCAGUCACACUGGAACUGAGACACGGUCCAGACUCCUACGGGAGGCAGCAGUGGGGAAUAUUGGGCAAUGGGCGAAAGCCUGAUCCAGCCAUGCCGCGUGUGUGAAGAAGGUCUUCGGAUUGUAAAGCACUUUAAGUUGGGAGGAAGGGCAGUAAGUUAAUACCUUGCUGUUUUGACGUUACCAACAGAAUAAGCACCGGCUAACUACGUG